rnacentral:rRNA from 1 species
UGUGGCAUCGAUAUCGUGUGUGGUAACACCUGUUCCCAUCCCGAACACAGCAGUUAAGCACCAUGGAGUCGAAGGUAGGAGCAAUCUGAGAAUAGAAAAAUGCCACGC